UGGGGAAUAUUGGACAAUGGGCGAAAGCCUGAUCCAGCAAUGCCGCGUGAGUGAAGAAGGUCUUCGGAUUGUAAAGCUCUUUCACGGGUGAAGAUAAUGACGGUAACCCGAGAAGAAGCCCCGGCUAACUUCGUGCCAGCAGCCGCGGUAAUACGAAGGGGGCUAGCGUUGUUCGGAAUUACUGGGCGUAAAGGGCGCGUAGGCGGUCUGUCAAGUUAGGUGUGAAAGCCCUGGGCUCAACCCAGGAACUGCAUUUAAGACUGGCAGGCUAGAGAUCUAGAGGGGAUAGUGGAAUUCCAAGUGUAGAGGUGAAAUUCGUAGAUAUUUGGAGGAACACCAGUGGCGAAGGCGACUAUCUGGCUAGAAUCUGACGCUGAGGCGCGAUAGCGUGGGGAGCAAA
rnacentral:rRNA from 1 species